rnacentral:rRNA from 1 species
CAGCCGCCGCGGUAAUACGAAGGGGGCUAGCGUUGUUCGGAUUUACUGGGCGUAAAGCGCACGUAGGCGGAUCGAUCAGUCAGGGGUGAAAUCCCAGAGCUCAACUCUGGAACUGCCUUUGAUACUGUCGAUCUGGAGUAUGGAAGAGGUGAGUGGAAUUCCGAGUGUAGAGGUGAAAUUCGUAGAUAUUCGGAGGAACACCAGUGGCGAAGGCGGCUCACUGGUCCAUUACUGACGCUGAGGCACGAAAGCGUGGGGAGCAAACAGGAUUAGAUACCCCCGUAGUCCCUGUCUCUUAUAC